rnacentral:lncRNA from 1 species
CCGAAGCUGUCUAAAUCUUUGUCUUGCGUUGCGUCUCUUGAUUCCGCUCAACCCCUCUCAAGCUACCACAUAGAUGCGUUGGUCUCACGACUAAGUCCUCACACUAGGACAUCUGCCGUGACAAUUCCACGACAUGGAACCACAGAGUUCCAAGUUAAAAAAAUAGUAAUUUUCUUUUUCUAGGAAGAAAAAGGAAUGAUGGUAUGAUGGACGAGGCUCCUCUGACGUACUGCAGGGCGCAGUUGGGCCACUGACAGGUGGGCCCGAAAGCAAGUUGGCCCACCUGUCAGUGACCCAACUGCGCCCUGCAGUACGUCAGGGGAGCCGAGUCCUGGUAUGAUGGGUAGUGGCGGGCUCCACGCAAGUUGGAACGCAGCCCUCUGUGCAACACAUCCAACCACCUCAUUGUUCGACUGGCUCAAAAAAAAA